UACGAAGGUGGCGAGCGUUACUCGGAAUGACUAGGCGUAAAGGGCAGGUAGGUGGUCUGGAAAGUCUGUUGUGAAAGCUCCUGGCUUAACUGGGAGAGGCCAACAGAUACUUCUAGGCUUGAGUAUGGGAGAGGGUACUGGAAUUCCCGGUGUAGCGGUGAAAUGCGCAGAGAUCGGGAGGAACACCAAUGGCGAAAGCAGGUACCUGGACCAUUACUGACACUCAGCUGCGAAAGCUAGGGGAGCAAACAGG
rnacentral:misc_RNA from 1 species